rnacentral:lncRNA from 1 species
GAGAGAUCUCAUUUCUCCUUUGAAUGCUUUAGCAAGCAUCUUACUUUGGCAUGGGAGGUUUUGAAAAGUUUCGCUGCUCCAGCUUCGAGGCUACGACAGCGACUGCUUGGGGCCUUCUUAUUCUCCAUGGAGAGAUCUUGGACCUUUCUAGAGGGCCUAUUUCUUCUCUCACCCAGUGUAGCCUUUUGGUUCUUCUUAAAAGAAUAUCCAGAAG